GACGGGGGAUGCAAGCGUUAUCCGGAAUCACUGGGCGUAAAGCGUCUGUAGGUGGUGAUGCAAGUCACUGGUGCAAAACUCUGGCUCAACCGGAGGAAAGCCAGUGAAACUGCAUGACUAGAGUGUGGGAGAGGUAGAAGGAAUUCCAUGAGUAGCGGUGAAAUGCGUAGAUACAGGGAAGAACGCCGGAGGCGAAAGCGUUCUACUGGAACACAACUGACACUGAGAGAAGAAAGCUAGGGGAGCGAAUGGG
rnacentral:rRNA from 1 species